rnacentral:tRNA from 1 species
GCCCAGGUAGCAUGGGGCAGUGAUUUGAGCACUGGACUAUGAUUCUGGAGACCAGGGUUCAAAUCCCAGCUCAGGCA